UUAUCUUAGAGAGCUUGCACGACCAGAGGGCCGUGCAAGGAGGGGCCGAGGGACAAGGAGAGAGGGAGAGAAGUGGACUCCCCAACUGAGCCCAACAGGGCUUGAUCCCACCACCCUGAGAUCAUGACCUGAGCCAAAAUCAAGGGUGGGACACUUAACCGAUUGAGCCACCCAGGGGCCCACUAAGCUAGUGUUUCGGAACUGUAACUUGGCUAACUCCAGGUGUCCUUACAAGAAGAAAAGACACAGUGAAGGAGGCCUUGUGAAGGAUUGGCGAUGAGCCAAGCAACACCUGGACCUUCCAGAAUCCAAAAGAGGAAAGAUUCUGCCCUAAAGUCUUCAUAGUGACCAUGACCCAGAGGACACCUUGAUUUUGGAUUUCUGCUUCCAGAAUUAAUUUCAUCCCUCUGAAUAAUGUCCAUUGUAGAAGUUAUUUUUGAAGCCACUUCUCUAGUAAACUUGCAAAAUAACACAAAAAAUGGUGUUUCUCCAAGCCAUAGCAGAUAUUGGUGUGAAACUCAAAAACAGCAACUCCCUAGCUUCCUUCCAG